UACAGAGGGGGCAAGCGUUGUUCGGAAUUACUGGGCGUAAAGGGCGCGUAGGCGCCUUCUAAGUCGAACGUGAAAUCCCUGGGCCCAACCCAGGAACUGCGUCCGAUACUGGAAGGCUUGAAUCCGGGAGAGGGAUGCGGAAUUCCAGGUGUAGCGGUGAAAUGCGUAGAUAUCUGGAGGAACACCGGUGGCGAAGGCGGCAUCCUGGACCGGUAUUGACGCUGAGGCGCGAAAGCCAGGGGAGCAAAGCGGG
rnacentral:rRNA from 1 species